AUUGAACGCUGGCGGCAGGCCUAACACAUGCAAGUCGAACGAGUGGCGGACGGGUGAGUAAUGUCUGGGGAACUGCCCGAUGGAGGGGGAUAACUACUGGAAACGGUAGCUAAUACCGCAUACCAUCGGAUGUGCCCAGAUGGGAUUAGCUAGUAGGUGGGGUAACGGCUCACCUAGGCGACGAUCCCUAGCUGGUCGGAGAGGAUGACCAGCCACACUGGAACUGAGACACGGUCCAGACUCCUACGGUAGGCGGCAGGGGGGAAGAUUGCACAAGUGGCGCAAGCCUGAUGCAGCCAUGCCGCGUGUAUUAAGAAUGCCUUCGGGUUGUAAAGUACUUUCAGCGAGGAGGCGUUACUCGCAGAAGAAGCACCGGCUAACUCCGUGCCAGCAGCCGCGGUAAUUC
rnacentral:rRNA from 1 species